rnacentral:rRNA from 1 species
UACGUAGGGUGCGAGCGUUGUCCGGAAUUACUGGGCGUAAAGAGCUCGUAGGUGGUUUGUCGCGUUGUUCGUGAAAACUCACAGCUUAACUGUGGGCGUGCGGGCGAUACGGUCGGACUCGAGGCCAGUAGGGGGACGCGGAAUUCCGGGUGUAGUGGUGGAAUGCGUAGAGAUCCGGAGGAACACCAGCGGCGAAGGCGGCGUCCUGGACUGGUACUGACGCUCAGGAGCGAAAGCGUGGGGAGCGAUCCGG